rnacentral:lncRNA from 1 species
GAGAGAUGAAUUAGAGGGCUGCUUCUCAACUAGGGGUUGGUGGAGGGCAGAGAAACUGAGACUCUCUGUUCCACAGUGGACAUUUUAUUUGUUUUGAUAUUCACAAGAUGUCCUUAGGAGUUCCACGGUUUUUUUUUAAAAAAAAAAGAAAGAAAGAAAAUUUGAAACUGCAGCAAUAAUUAAUUAUUGGCCCAAGAGGGCUUUUUAAUAUCAUAUCCUUCACCAGAAACUUCAUAAAAGGCCCUUUUCCUUUUUAAAAUGCUUAUUGUUAAGGGACUUAUGUGCUAGUGAGUAUUUGAACAAGUUAGCCCUUAAAAUAUGUAUAUUUAUAUAUUAUAUAUUAUAUAUAAUAUAUAUGUGUAUUAUAUAUUAUAUGUAUAUUAUAUAUAACAUAUAUAAUAUAUUUGUAUUAUAUAUUAUAUAUGUAUAUUGACAAAGGUGAAAAGACAACUCAAUGGGGAAUGGACAGUUUUUCAACAGAUGAUUUUAAAACAACUGAACAUCCAUAUGCAAAAAAAUAAACCUACCUAAAUUUCACAGCUUAUACAAAAAUUAACCUAAAAUGGAUCACGGAUCUAAAUGUAGAACUAAAUUUAUAAAAUUUUUAGAAGAAAAAAAUCCAUAGGCCGGGCACGGUGGCUCAUGCCUGUAAUCCCAGCACUUUGGAGGCUGAGGCGGGCAGAUCCCUUGAGGUCAGUUCAAGACUAGCCUAGCCUAUAUGGUGAAAUCCCAACUCUACUAAAAAUAAAAAAUAAAAAUAAAAAAUGGGCUGGGAGUGGUGGUGCACACCUGUAGUCCCAGCUACUUGUUUUUA